rnacentral:lncRNA from 1 species
GCGGUUCCGGCUGGGAACAAUACCCUCAGGGUCAGGAGGACAGGAUCUGAGUGCAGGCCAGCCAAAAAGAAUUGAGCAUACCACAAAAAAGUUCUCAUUUUGUGUCCUCCCAUCCCAUUCUCCUCACUAACCAAAGCCUCCCACUGGUCUCACUAUUGACAAUACCCAAGGCAAGGCACAGAGGAAAGGAGCCAUUGAUACAUCCAAUCUCUCACCUACCAAGCUGGAAGAAGAGUAGAGAGUGGCCAACCUCCUAG